UACGUAGGGGGCGAGCGUUGUCCGAAGUUACUGGGCGUAAAGAGCGCGUAGGCGGACCCUUAAGUGAGGGGUGAAAGGUUCGGGCUCAACCCGGAGAGUGCCUUUCAUACUGGGGGUCUUGAGUGCGGGAGAGGCAAGUGGAAUGGUCGGUGUAGCGGUGAAAUGCGUAGAUAUCGUGAGGAACACCAGAGGCGAAGGCGGCUACCUGGACAAUUGCUGACGCUCAGGCACGAAAGCGUGGGGAGCAAAAGGG
rnacentral:rRNA from 1 species